rnacentral:sRNA from 1 species
GGAGAGUGACGUCCGGGCCCCGCCUCCCCCUCCGGCCACGUGCAAAGACUUGAAAGGAAAGAGGGAGACCGCGAGCCUGCUGGAUACAAGCCAGCAGAGCUGACCUAGUGGGAAGGAAUCCUGACCUCAUCCUAAAAUGGGAAAUAGGUUCUUUUGUCUUCAAGGAACUUUGGCCGAUUUCUGUGCUUUCCCCAUCUGCUGACUGAGCUCCCUCACACUGGUUGAGGACCACUGGGAAGCCAGAAAAGGCUCUGCUGGAGAAGAUGGCUGCCUUCAGGAGUUGAGAGUCCAUCUUGAUGCCCAGGAAAGGAAUGAAGCUCCCCCCACACCACUCCCAAUCUGCCACUCAUAUAAGGUGACUUCCUGUGAACUAAAGAUCCAAGGGGCUACAAUGGUCAAAAAAGAGAGGAAAAUGGAACCACAGCCACUCGUACUUUCUCACUGGAAGGAAGUCAACAGAAGCCCCGCUUGACAGGGGGGUAGCACUUGCCUGGGAACACAGCAAAAACAAUGGCAUUUGGUGGGAGCUGGAGUGGCUUCACUGUGUACUGUGGUGACUGCUAGCCCCACAGAAGGAAGGUGUCUUCUGGUGUCUGUUCUGUGUUGUGGUGGUGUUGGCCUAGAGAGAUACAGACUUGAUAGACCCAGGUUGAAUUUCACUCCUGCCUCAUCUCGGCUCCCAUUACACAACCCCAAAGACCAUCCUUGAUGGGAAAGAAGAUGCAAAUCGAUCCCAGAGGCGGCCAUCGGUUGAGAGGGGGGCAUGAGCAAAGAACUGUGAACUUGAGAGGAGCCAAAGUAAAAAAAGAAAAUUAGGUAAAUCAAGGAGUGUUUAUUGGGAACGGGCUCUGCAGAAGUCAUGGCAAGGUGCCUGAGAGGUUCUGGGUACCACCUGACCCCCGCUCACUGUGUGACACUGCCUUCCUCUGGGCCUCGGUUCUUAUAUCUGUAAGACGACACCACUGGAUCUGAUCUCUGAGAUUAUCUCCCUUUAAGAAGUUUGCAAUCUUUUGGCAAAAGGGGCGGUAGAAUUAAGUAGCCAAGAGGCUGAAUUUUCAUCCUGGAAGAAAUUUCAACCUGCAAGAAGGGCUUGAAGGAGCCCAAACGGAAAUAAAGCAAGCAGACUUUGCCUGGUAAGAUUCGAGGACAACAGGAAUCAACAGACCUUUCUCAGGGCCCUGAGAGUUAAAGGUCAGAUCUCAGGUCAGUGAUGUGAACUUCUGUGCUUGGCCUUGAUGAGGGAUUGGGGGAAAGUAGACAGAUGCAUCCCUGUAAAAGAUAGUGUCUCUUUUUUUGUUUGCCAGGUUACUCAAAAGAAAGGGAAUUAUUGUCCCCUUGGAAGGGUAGCCAAGGCUAAUUAAACCAGAGGUGUAUACCUGAUCCAGUGGCUAGGUUGACCGGGCUCCAUCGAAUUGAGCCAACCCAAUUUCUUCCUGCAAGAAUUUUAGGGAAAAGACUGAAGAACUGUCCACUGCUGAUAGCUCCUUAAGUCAAGGCCUGUGGCCAAGGUGGUCUGGCCCAAUAAAAGGAAGCCAAAGAAGUGCUCAUCGAGGGAAGGCAGAAGAUGAGGGAGAGAGGAUGAAGGGAAGCUGCCCAGAACAGCCUGGUCCCUCACUCUCACUCCCUGGCUCCCUGGUCUCUGCAUCUAUAUUGUGAUCUCCAUAGCUUUGUGUCAGGUUACAUAGGUACAGACACGAGUUCAACCAGCAGCUAUCUUCUCCCAAAACUCCCCUUUCUCUUUAAGUCAUAGGUGGUAUAUCUCCCUUCAACCGGUUUACACGUCCUGUCCACUAAUGCUUUACUCUGAGCUUCGUCUUCGAAGCAACUUCGCUUCAAACCUUCCACACCUCUAAUACUUUUCAGAGAACAAUAACCAAUUUAUUAACUAAACAGAUUAAAAUACCGAGUUCCAUAACAGGUAGGAAGCUGGCGGUCUGUAGGAGCUGUGAACAGGGCCAGCGAGCUUAGGUCCAUCCCACAUCUCAAAACGUCAGGUUCAGCUACACGAAACCACAGCGUAUCAUCCGUCUUCGCUGGCACACUUACAAUAAGGUCUCUUUAUUCUCUCCUGAGACCACAGUGGUGUGAGGUCUGUCAAGAGUGGCGAUCCUGGGUCACCUAUACCAACAGCUCAACAGCCGGAAGAAAGGUCAGGUGCCAUUAAAAAUGUUUGCCUCUGGGCUGGAGAGAUGGCUCUGUGGUUAAGAGACCUGGCUGCUCUUCCAGAGCUCCUGAGUUCAAUUCCC